GAGGAGUCCCCUCUUGCAGGCAGAGAGAGGUUGAGCUUCAGGUCAAGGCCCUUUGAUGAGCUCUUCCUGUUGCUGCGGCUCAUCCUCAGAGGGAUUAAAGAUCACUGGCGAUGGAUGCAUAUAGGGAGGGAGCUUACUUUUGCGUCGGGUCCGAGAAGCAGGAGCCUCGCAGAUGAAAGUGAGAGCGACAGGGGAGGGGAUGCUCUGCUCUGCUCUGGAGCGAGAGAAGCCCGAGAGUUGGAAUGCUAGGAGCGUGCUGCGUUGGUGUAGUUGGAAUGGAGAUGGCGGGUAUUUAUAGUGGGGAGGGAGAUGGAUGGGGAGAGGUCAAUUAGUUUUGUUUAAUGCAACAGUGAGAGGCAUACUACUACUACUUCCCCCUCUCUCUCUCUCUCUCUCAUGUAUGUAGUACAGGCAUUUUAUUACCCACCAAAUCAUGGUUGGAGAGUGGCAAGGGAUGGGUUGAAUAAUUUGUGCUUUGUUGGGUGGAAGAGAAGUGCGAGGUGAGAGGGCUGGUCAUGCACACAAGGUUGGCUAUUUAACAGGCGAAAGCCGAGCCUGGUAAUGGAUGGCUUUGGGAUCCAGAGCCAAUGCUAUCGGCCUCGGGAUCAAAGAUCAAUUCAGCUUAUCGAAGCGUAUAAUAUUUCGCCAUCAUUCGCCAUGAUUCAUCGCCGGUGUGUUUAAGAUUUGGAGCUAAAGAGGCCAAGAGUUGAAGGCAACUCUGGCUCAACUACGGAAACAGGGGAGGUUUGACCUCAAGCCGAGCUCAUAACUGUGGCACUAGGUUACUUAGUACAGGAUAUGGUUUAAAAUGUUUCUUGCACGUACAAAACUGUGAUUAGUCGGCGUUGGAGCCAAACGCAUGUGCUCUUCUUUAAUUUCAUGGAGGGAUCUAAGGAGCUUAAUUAGUGGCCUGGAAGUAAAAGAAAGCUCCUGAUUGAAUGAUGUCACGUGUUCGUCGUUAUUGUGGUUUUGUAUGUUCCCCCUCCCUCUCUGUGUGGUUUCAUACAAUUUUGCAGAUGGUUCCACCUUUUGUUAUUUAUCAGUAUUAAAGUUUAAUCA